rnacentral:rRNA from 1 species
GACGAACGCUGGCGGCGUGCUUAACACAUGCAAGUCAAGGGGGGCCGCAAGGUCAACCGGCGAACGGGUGCGUAACACGUGAGCAACCUGCCUCAGUGUGGGGGAUAGCCGGCCCAACGGCCGGGUAAUACCGCAUACGCUCAUUAAGUGGCAUCACUUGAUGAAGAAACUUUCGAGGCACUGAGAGGGGCUCGCGGCCUAUCAGCUUGUUGGUGGGGUAAUGGCCUACCAAGGCAACGACGGGUAGCUGGUCUGAGAGGAUGGCCAGCCACAUUGGGACUGAGAUACGGCCCAGACUCCUACGGGAGGCAGCAGUGGGGAAUAUUGCGCAAUGGGCGAAAGCCUGACGCAGCGACGCCGCGUGGGGA